AGUCAACAUAAAGUACAACUUUCUUUUUCUUGAAUUACAUACCUAACCUAUAUUUAUUUCACCCAUUUUCAAAAUUCCUUUUCACUCUGCAAAUCUGCAUUGCCAUGAUUCAAUAAUCUGUUAUUUGCUUCUUCACCUCCUCUAAAAUCCAUAUAAAAUUGUUAAAAAUCCAAAAAUAUUUCGUGGUAUAGGAAAAAGGAGAGAAAGGAACAAUAUAUAAAAUAAAUUCAGUAGAAAAAAUUGGAAAUUAUGCCUGGCUCCAUCCUGUUUGCCAUCAAUUACGCAAAAAAAAAAAAAAAAAAAAAAAAAGAGAAGAAAAGAGAAGAAAAGGGGGCUUUUACAAGAAGUAGACACUAGUACAUUGUGCAAUCCCAAAAUGCCUUUGAAUUUACCAUUUUCUUGAAAAGGGCAACUUCUUCAUUCAACAACAGAACCCUUCUGCUCCUAAUGCCACCAUUGUUAAAGUUGGUUUUAGACUCAGAAACAGCCAUUGCCCCCUGACUGUGUUCAGUUUCUUUUUAUCUUUUUCAUCAAUGCUACUUGUGGUAUAAAAAUCUUGGAGUCUUCCUUUUCCUUUGUGGAAUUGCAAAGAGAGAAGAUCGAGGAAUUUGGAGGAAAUUUUUUAUUGGUUUUGAUUUUCGAAAGGAC
rnacentral:lncRNA from 1 species